rnacentral:rRNA from 1 species
GACGAACGCUGGCGGCGUGCUUAACACAUGCAAGUCGAACGCUGAAGCUCAGCUUUUGUUGGGUGGAUGAGUGGCGAACGGGUGAGUAACACGUGAGUAACCUGCCUCCUUCUUUGGGAUAACGCCCGGAAACGGGUGCUAAUACUGGAUAUUCACUGGUCUUCGCAUGGGGGUUGGUGGAAAGGGUUGUUCUGGUGGGGGAUGGGGUCGCGGCCUAUCAGCUUGUUGGUGGGGUGAUGGCCUACCAAGGCUUUGACGGGUAGCCGGCCUGAGAGGGUGACCGGUAACAUUGGGACUGAGAUACGGCCCAGACUCGUACGGGGGGCAGCAGUGGGGAAUAUUGCACAAUGGGCGAAAGCCUGAUGCAGCGACGCCGCGUGAGGGAUGGAGGCCUUCGGGUUGUGAACCUCGUUCGCUCAUGGUCAAGCCGCAACAAUGGUUGUGGUGAGGGUAGUGGGUAAAGAAGCGCCGGCUAACUACGUG